rnacentral:rRNA from 1 species
UGCCUACGGGACGCAGCAGUGGGGAAUAUUGCACAAUGGGGGAAACCCUGAUGCAGCAACGCCGCGUGAGUGAAGAAGUAUUUCGGUAUGUAAAGCUCUAUCAGCAGGGAAGAAAAUGACGGUACCUGAGUAAGAAGCCCCGGCUAACUACGUGCCAGCAGCCGCGGUAAUACGUAGGGGGCAAGCGUUAUCCGGAUUUACUGGGUGUAAAGGGAGCGUAGACGGCGAUACAAGUCUGAAGUGAACGCCCGGGGC